GUUAGGGCGAGGGUCCCUGGGAUCGUCAGGUCAGGCCUUGGGCUAACGUAGGCACUCUCGCAGUUCCUCCGCCUUCAGGAAAGUCUUUUUAGCAGGGGCCUUACGGGUUCGCGCUUUGGUCCUGGAGGCCUUAUCCUAGCCUCCUCUGUAUCAGCGCCACCAGUCUGGGGCCCGAAAGGAGGGAGCUUUCCCUCUGUCCCCCAGCCUUUGGACUGUCACCAAACAAGCCAUUCGUUCACCAAAUACUUAUUAAGCGCCUACCAUGUGCCUGACAAGGGAGAUGUAACGCUGUUGUUCC
rnacentral:lncRNA from 1 species